rnacentral:rRNA from 1 species
UACGUAGGGUGCAAGCGUUAAUCGGAAUUACUGGGCGUAAAGCGUGCGCAGGCGGUUUUUUAAGUCAGAUGUGAAAUCCCCGGGCUUAACCUGGGAAUGGCAUUUGGGACUGCAAGGCUCGAGUGCGGCAGAGGAGACUGGAAUUCCUGGUGUAGCAGUGAAAUGCGUAGAUAUCAGGAGGAACACCGAUGGCGAAGGCAGGUCUCUGGGCUGACACUGACGCUCAUGCACGAAAGCGUGGGGAGCAAACAGG